rnacentral:lncRNA from 1 species
AUGUGAGUAAAGGAGAAAUAGGGAGUUUUUUCUAGAUAUGUCAUUCCUGCAUUGUGAAUUCACAAAGUACAUGUCUUCCUGACUACUUAUGCUGAAGAAAUCAAUGUUGCCAAUUAAAUCUACUAACUUGUGUUCAAUUUAUUUAACCACACAGUGUAGUUUUUCCCCUCCAUAGCCUUUUUAAACCUCCCAUGGAACUAAUAUCAUGCAGAACCUAUUCUGUAACAUGCUGAUCUGAAGAUUUUCCAAAUGUGUAACUUACUUAAGUUUGUGGAGGCAUCAGAUCCCUUUGGGCAUGUGGAUGGACAAAAAUAUUCCAUCUGCAACAAAGCCAAAGUUCUCGGAUAGAGGGUCUCACCAUGUCAGCAUGUGGAACAUGUACCAGAGAACUCCAAGAAUGAGGAUGUGCCUAAUACCAUGUUGCAUAUUUACAGGUAAGCCUAACAUGGCUAAUGGGGAACAUCUAAGUUCUCUGAGUAAAGGGAACUUUUUAUGUAAAGGGCCAGAUAGAAUGCAUUUUAUA